CGGUGCCAGCAGCCGCGGUAAAUCCAGCUCCACUAGCGUAUAUUAUAAAUGUUGCAGUAAAAAAAUGGUAGUGAAUUUUGGAAUUUGUUUUACGGUUGGAAUCAACUGGUUUGUACUGGUGUGAAGAAUUUCUACCCUUUCUGAANAACCAUCAAAUGUCAUG
rnacentral:rRNA from 1 species